rnacentral:misc_RNA from 1 species
GAUGAAGAACGUAGCGAAAUGCGAUACGUAAUGUGAAUUGCAGAAUUCAGUGAAUCAUCGAGCCUUUGAACGCACAUUGCGCCCCCUGGUAUUCCGGGGGGCAUGCCUGUCCGAGCGUCAUUGUUGCCCUCAAGCACGGCUUGUGUGUUGGGCCUCCGUCCUCCUCCCGGGGGACGGGCCCGAAAGGCAGCGGCGGCACCGCGUCCGGUCCUCGAGCGUAUGGGGCUUCGUCACCCGCUCUUGUAGGCCCGGCCGGCGCUUGCCGACACAUCAAUCUUUUUUCCAGGUUGACCUCGGAUCAGGUAGGGAUACCCGCUGAACUUAAGCAUAUCAAUAAGCGGAGGA